UACGUAGGGUGCGAGCGUUGUCCGGAAUUAUUGGGCGUAAAGAGCUUGUAGGCGGUUUGUCGCGUCUGCUGUGAAAAUCCGGGGCUCAACCCCGGACUUGCAGUGGGUACGGGCAGACUAGAGUGUGGUAGGGGAGACUGGAAUUCCUGGUGUAGCGGUGAAAUGCGCAGAUAUCAGGAGGAACACCAAUGGCGAAGGCAGGCCUCUGGGCCACUACUGACGCUGAGAAGCGAAAGCAUGGGGAGCGAACAGG
rnacentral:rRNA from 1 species